rnacentral:rRNA from 1 species
CGGGACGGGUGAGUAACGCGUGGAUAACCUGCCUCACACUGGGGAGUAACAGUUAGAAAUGACUGCUAAUACCGCAUAAGCGCACAGUACCGCAUGGUACAGUGUGAAAAACUCCGGUGGUGUGAGAUGGAUCCGCGUCUGAUUAGCCAGUUGGCGGGGUAACGGCCCACCAAAGCGACGAUGGAUAGGGGUUCUGAGAGGAAGGUCCCCCACAUUGGAACUGAGACACGGUCCAA